rnacentral:piRNA from 1 species
UGGCAAAGAGGGUAAAGGUCACAGGAUG